rnacentral:rRNA from 1 species
GACGAACGCUGGCGGCGUGCUUAACACAAGCAAGUCGAACGGUGAAGGAGAGCCUGCUCUCCGGAUCAGUGGCGAACGGGUGAGUAACACGUGGGCAACCUGCCCCAGACUUCGGGAUAACGCUUCGAAAGAGGUGCUAAUACCGGAUACGAACUCCUUGGGCAUCCUUGGAGUUGGAAAGUUUUUCGGUCUGGGAUGGGCCCGCGGCCUAUCAGCUUGUUGGUGAGGUAACGGCUCACCAAGGGGACGACGGGUAGCCGGCCUGAGAGGGCGACCGGCUACACUGGGACUGAGACACGGCCCAGACUCCGACGGGAGGCAGCAGUGGGGAAUGUUGCGCAAUGGGCGAAAGCCUGACGCAGCAACGCCGCGUAAGGGAUGACGGCCUUCGGGUUGUAAACCUCUUUCAGCAGGGAAGAAGCGAAAGUGACGGUACCUGCAGAAGAAGCACCGGCUAACUACGUGCCAGCAGCCGCCGUAA